rnacentral:piRNA from 1 species
UAGGAAGCAACAACUCUUACCCAGAGAUGAA